rnacentral:sRNA from 1 species
UGAUGUUAGCUUCAUCAGUGCUAGUCUU